CAAACACCGGUACCCUCACCGUUGAAACCGGCGAUUUUUUCUCUCCUUUGACCCCCCUCUCUCGUUCUCUCUCUACCAUCGAUUUUCACUUCCUCAUGUCGGUUUCCAAACAUCUGCAAAUUCCACAUGUUCACUUCCCUCCAUUUCUAGGGUUUCUCCGCACAUUUUCCAAUGCAGAUUUAAUUUUGUUUAUUCCAUUCAGGAAUUUGUACAAAUGGGGAAUAAGGUGAAGGAGGAAGAGAAAAUCGAGAGGACAAUUCGGGGCCUUUUGAAGCUUGCUGAGAACCGGAGAUGUAUCAAUUGCAACAGUUUGGGGCCACAAUAUGUUUGCGCGACUUUCUUGACAUUUGUUUGCACAAACUGCAGUGGAAUUCAUCGAGAGUUCACACAUCGGAUAAAAUCUGUAUCGAUGGCUAAAUUUACUACAGAAGAAGUCACUGCUCUUCAAGCAGGGGGAAAUGAGCGAGCAAGGGAAAUUUAUCUCAAAGAUUGGGAUCCACAACGACAUUCCCUCCCUGACAGCAGUAACCUUCUCAAACUCCGGGAAUUUAUUAAGCAUGUCUAUGUGGAUAGAAAAUAUACUGGCGAGAGGAAUGUCGACAAGCUCCCAAUGGUGAAAGUGGGUAACAGUGGAUCUAGGAACUCAAGUCUUGAGGUUGCAUGUGAAUGGCGUAACAGUGAAAGAUCUAGUCCUAGCGGAAGAAGUGGUGACAAUAGUAUCAGAUAUUACUAUGAUGAAAGAAGAAGCCCUCGAUUUUCCCACGAACAUUCAAGAUCUGGUGGUUUCAGGAGAAAUCCUGUCCGUUUUGAGGUAGUUGAUGACAGGGUUCGAGAUGAUAGACUUGGAGGUGGCAGACGAACUGAAAGCAACAGAUUUUCUAAUGGAGAAUCAAGGCAAAUUAGUAGAUUGCCUGACUCUCAAAGGAAGGUGGAUGUAUCCAGUUCCCCAGAGGUACGCCCUGUAAGCAAUAUUCUGGGGGAAAAUGUUUCUCCUCUACAUGCGGGUGAACUUCCUAAUACAAAUGACAAGAAGGAUGCCAAUGCCUCAGCUCAUCCGAAGAAGAUUGCAUCUUCCAGUAGCAUAAGAUCUAUUGAUCGGAACCCUACAGAACCUAAAAUGGCAAACUCAGGAAGCCUGAUUGAUUUGAGUUCCAAUCCUGGUCCUGCUGAUGCUGCAGCUGUCUCACAAACACAGCCAGCACCUUCAUCUACCGAUAUUGGAAACUUGGCCUCCGGGGAAGUAUCAUCAAAAAAUAAAGCCUCUGAUUCUCCAAGUACAAAUUUUUUGGAAUCUUUGCUGUCAGAAUUAUCAGUGCCGGCAGUUGUACCUGGCGGUAACAUCUCUGAAGGACCGAGUAGUGGUAACAUGCUAACAACCCACAUUGUUGGUGUUUCUUCAACUUCACCUCCAGUGAACAUGCUGGAAUUACCUGAUAACAGCGGUGCUUCUAUAUCCACAUCAAUGAUCAACAAAUCAAUGCUAAUCCCUAGUGAAGGUGCUCCAGCAGCUUCACAAGUGGGGAAGAUGCCAAUGUUGGCUGGUGACAGUGGUGAUUUCAUUGAUGAAGUUCCUGAACAGCUGCAGUUACGAGACAUGCAGAAAUGCUCACCUUCUGCAUCCCCUUCUGCGGCUAGUAGCUCAACCAGUCAACAGACUUCUCAAUUGGGUGGAAUUCUAUGCGGUCAGCCACAGACUUCAUCAUUUCUGUCAAACACAAGAGGACCUUUUAGCACCUCUGAAAAAUCUUCUCAAUCUGUCUCAGAACUGGGACAAGGUAUAAGUUCUCCAGUUGGAUCACAGCCUCCUCAAAUGGAAGCAAAGCCCAGUGGAAGAAAGGAACUUCCAGCGGACCUUUUCACUGCAACCUAUUCACCAACCCCAUCACCAUUCCCAGGUUGGCAAACUGGUUCACCUUAUGGCAUGGGAUUUAGGAUGCAGUAUCAUCCUGUUGCAAUGACUACACCAGCCUUUCCCAGCUCUGUAAAAUCAACAAACCCAUUCGAUUUCAAUGAUGAAACAACUCAAGUUCAAGCCCCAGUGUUCCCUUCCAUGGCAUCUUUGCAAGGAGCAUUACCGAGUGUGUCAGCUCCUGUGGGCAUAUCACAUGCUUCCAGUCUUGGUGUUCUUCCGCAGAUGAUGCAGCCUCAGUCACCAUCUCAUGUAUCUACAAUGCCACCACAAUCACCUUAUGCAUUGGCCCUGUCUACAAGUCCAUAUGCAAGACCGCAAGUACCCCAUACAAUGUUGCCCUCCAGACAUCAAGGAAUUGGUAGCAUCACCAGUAAUGCUGCUGUUUUUGGUUCUGCAAAUACAAAUCAGCUGCCAGCAGGCAGAUACUCGGUACCUUCUACACCGGAUUCUCAUUCUUUUUCUUCAUUAGGGGGAAACCCAUUUGGGUAGAUUCAAGAACGUAAGGGUUUUCUUUAUCUCAUCUUGGCUUCAUAAUCUUCCUGUCUGGCCUCCAAAGACAUUGGGAUGAAGUUCAGUUCCUUUCUGGUUGAAGAUUAAACGUAAUAAUUUUUCAGAAUGAGGUGGUUUGUCUUCUGCACCAUGGAAAGAAGAUUGGAUGUAGAACCAGAAGGAGCAUCUACACAUUCAUCAGGUAUCAAGAUAUACCGCAAAUGGACGGCUGUGUAAGCAAAUGCUCUGAUCCAUGCCAGUGAAGUCUCAAUGUUUUGGCAUUGUCUCCAUGUUCAAGAUUAGCCACCUUUAUAUAUGAUAUAAUGAAUAAAGCCAUGUUUCACUUCAUCUAUGAAUCAGAUUAGUAUAUAAAAUGAAAGAUUUCAUUGUGGUGA